GACAAUUAUUUUUGAUGUGAAGACAGUGCCAAGUAUACCACGAGUGCCUGUUAAGGCGAGAUCAUUUUACCAGGAUGCCGCUGCAGCCGGUGAGAGGAAGAUCAAUGCGGCGGUGAAAGAUGAGGCAGACGAUAUCACAAAGGAACAAAAGCGUGGACGGGGAGUGGAGCGGACGAAAAUGAGCCACCAGCCAGCGAUAGGUCAACCAACACAGACGAGAACAAAGUGACCCUGAGAGGCAGGACGGCUUCACUGUUUGAGUUCAGCUGGGCGCUUAUUCUUGAACAGCGAUGUCGAACAAAAAAAGAAAAACAAACGUGUUCUCU